rnacentral:lncRNA from 1 species
CCGGUGCGCUCUUACUCAGAUUAAUAAUUUUGACUCAAGAUUUUCAACUUAUUUGAACAAAAUUUAACCAAACCAUAAAGGAUUCACUUAAAAGCAAUGGCAACAUAUCAUUUGAGAUACUUAAUUUGAAUUUUACAGUUAUUCUUCAAAGGAGCUUUAAUUUCUGAUGGUAUAUUAUUGGAGCUUUUAUGAAUGCAGUUUUGAACUACAUGGGCAGCAAAAUCAAUUGU